rnacentral:rRNA from 1 species
ACCCUGUUGAGCUUGGUAAGGCUAGUUCUCUUAGAAUUAGAGCUAUGUUUGUUCGGGGCUGAAGGGAAGGGAGAUAAUGCCUUCUAUGUUAUAGAAAAGAUCCAAUUUGAUUGAUUGGUGGAAGAUAGUUACCACAGGGAUAACAGCGCAAUCAUUCUGAUAAGGCCAUAUUUAAGGAGUGGUUUGCGACCUCGAUGUUGAAUCAAAAUUUCUACUAGGUGUAGCAGCUUAGUAAGUGGGACUGUUCGUCCUUUAAAAUUUUACGUGAUCUGAGUUCAGACCGG